AUUGAACGCUGGCGGCAGGCCUAACACAUGCAAGUCGAGCGGGGUUUUCGGACCUAGCGGCGGACGGGUGAGUAAUGCGUAGGAAGCUACCCGAUAGAGGGGGAUACCAGUUGGAAACGACUGUUAAUACCGCAUAAUGUCUACGGACCAAAGUGUGGGACCUUCGGGCCACAUGCUAUCGGAUGCGCCUACGUGGGAUUAGCUAGUUGGUGGGGUAAUGGCUAACCAAGGCGAAGAUCCCUAGCCGGUUUGAGAGGAUGAUCAGCCACACUGGAACGGGGACACGGUCCAGACUCCUACGGGAGGGAGCAGUGGGGAAUAUUGGACAAUGGGGGCAAGCCUGGUCCAGCCAUGCCGCGUGUGUGAAGAAGGCCUUCGGGUUGUAAAGCACUUUCAGUAGGGAGGAAGGAUGUUGUGUUAAUAGUACUUAACUUUGACGUUACCUACAGAAGAAGCACCGGCUAACUCUGUGCCAGCCGCCGCGGUAAGAC
rnacentral:rRNA from 1 species